GAGUUUGAUCCUGGCUCAGGACGAACGCUGGCGGCAUGCCUAAUACAUGCAAGUCGAACGCCAAAUCUUCCUGCUAGCAGGAAGAGGCGGAGUGGCGAACGGGUGAGUAACACGUGAGGAACUUGCCCAUAAGAGGGGGAUAACACCCGGAAACGGGUGCUAAUACCGCAUAAGUUUUCUCAGUGCAUGCUGGGAAAAUAAAAGGUGGCUCUGCUACCGCUUAUGGAUAGCCUUGCGGCGCAUUAGCUAGUUGGUAGGGUAAAGGCCUACCAAGGCCAUGAUGCGUAGCCGACUUGAGAGGGUGAUCGGCCACACUGGAACUGAGACACGGUCCAGACUCCUACGGGAGGCAGCAGUAGGGAAUCUUCCACAAUGGGUGCAAGCCUGAUGGAGCAAUGCCGCGUGAGUGAAGAAGGACUUCGGUUCGUAAAGCUCUGUUGUUGGGGAAGAACACGGAUAGGAGUCACUGCCUAUCCCUUGACGGUACCCAACCAGAAAGUCACGGCUAACUACGUGCCAGCAGCCGCGGUAAUACGUAGGUGACAAGCGUUGUCCGGAUUUAUUGGGCGUAAAGCGAGCGCAGGCGGUCCGGUAAGUCUGAUGUGAARGCCCACGGCUCAACCGUGGAACGGCAUUGGAAACUGGCGGACUUGAAUGUAGCAGAGGAAAGUGGAAUUCCAUGUGUAGCGGUGGAAUGCGUAGAUAUAUGGAGGAACACCAGUGGCGAAAGCGACUUUCUGGGCUAUGAUUGACGCUGAGGCUCGAAAGCGUGGGGAGCGAACAGGAUUAGAUACCCUGGU
rnacentral:rRNA from 1 species